rnacentral:lncRNA from 1 species
UCUUAGAAAUGUGCCUGAUGGAAACAGACAAUAUCUCUCCUCCUAACCCAACAGAUGCUUAAUUGGCAGGAGAGGAAUUGAGAAGCGAGCGUUUCUACGGAAAGCUUCACUCUUGACCAUCCACUACUGCACCACGGUGGAGCUGGAGCCCCUCACAGAUAAUCCUAAAUCCCACAUCACCAUCCCUGGUCUUGAUGCUCCAGUCAGCCGCUGAAGACAAGGGCAAAUUGCAGCUAUGGAGUUUCUGAGUCCAGGCUCCAGCCAUGUGGCAGAACAAAUCCUUGUGCCCUGCAGCCAACUUGGGACUCCAUUCAUUUCAGCCAGCACAGCAUUACUCAUAACUGGAAGAACACCACAGAAACGGUCUCUUCGGAUAUUUCACAAGGAAGAAAUUGGCACGUGCUUACUUUCAAUCAGUCUCCCAACCCUGUGGCGUGUCUCUAACAUCUGCAUUUUGAAGAAGAGGUUAAGAGAUCAGAAAUGUGGAAAUUAACCUGCCAAGAAUGUAAGGAAAACACAGGCAGGACUGGUAAAAGAAAAAAAAAAAAUCAAACAAUGCGAAAAAACAGACCUUACUGGGGUUCUGUUGGUGCCUCCAAACAUUUGGAAUUAUGAUUUGGAAAUGUCUUCAACAGGGCAAUAAAAAUAUGUCAGAAACAUAAAGCA